UGGGGAAUAUUGGACAAUGGGCGCAAGCCUGAUCCAGCCAUACCGCGUGGGUGAAGAAGGCCUUCGGGUUGUAAAGCCCUUUUGUUGGGAAAGAAAUCCAGCUGGCUAAUACCCGGUUGGGAUGACGGUACCCAAAGAAUAAGCACCGGCUAACUUCGUGCCAGCAGCCGCGGUAAUACGAAGGGUGCAAGCGUUACUCGGAAUUACUGGGCGUAAAGCGUGCGUAGGUGGUCGUUUAAGUCCGUUGUGAAAGCCCUGGGCUCAACCUGGGAACUGCAGUGGAUACUGGGCGACUAGAAUGUGGUAGAGGGUAGCGGAAUUCCUGGGGUAGCAGUGAAAUGCGUAGAGAUCAGGAGGAACAUCCAUGGCGAAGGCAGCUACCUGGACCAACAUUGACACUGAGGCACGAAAGCGUGGGGAGCAAACA
rnacentral:rRNA from 1 species